GGAGUCACAUUCAUUUUCGGAUUCCCAAGUACUUCUUCAAAGUAAGGCCAUUCUUUGGGUCAGAGAUUUUUGUCCACAAUGAGGGCAUUAAAAUUGGGGUUGAUAUAUCUGUUUUGCAAGGCUCCCACCUAACAUUGAAUAUUUGUCUUCAAUUGAAGAAUGUGCCACCAAACUUCUUGGUUAAGUCAACUAAGUUGUAUUGCAUCCUUUGCUGCAGCACAUCCUUCAAUGUCCCAUGUGGACAAACCAUGGGUCAAUCGCAAUGUGGAUAUGAAGCUUGGAAAGAUGAUGAAAUUGUUGAACUGAACCAGAAGUUGUUAUGCCAUGUCUUGGAUAGUGUUGCAGGCAAGAGAAGAAUUAUGCAUAACAGGGGCCAUGGUAAUAGUAGGGUUGUGGAGACAUUUAUGGAUUUUAGACCUAAUGAGAAAGAGCAGGGGUUUUCACAUUGCUCACUUGAUGUGUCUGACUUUCCUGAGGGUUCUUAUAGAAUCAAAUGGCAUAGCUGUUUGGUUGAUAGUCAGGAUUCCUAUUGGAGUCUCCUUCCUUUGAACUCAGGGCCUGUAUUUAAUAUAAAACCCACAGUGGAUAGGAUAGAAUCUCAUAAAGCAUAGCCAUUAAAAUAAACAUUACGCAUAUGAAGCAUCUCACUUUAGUAUUAUGCUAUUGUCCUUUUCAUUUUCAUUUAUCUGAUUAAGCAUUAUGCAUAUGAAGCAUGCUCAGUUGCUGGCCAAUUGAUCCUGAACUCAAGGUUGGUCCAUUAUUUUACUUUUCUUUCUUUCAAAUUUUCUGCUUCAAUUUAUGACUACAAUUUCAUCAUGUUGCUGAUGCUAUCACCUAUCUAUUUAGCUGUUGUACAGUGAGCUUGGGCUCUUCCCACUUUGAGACUGAUUUUUAAGCUGUUGUUCAGUAGCAAUUUUUUCCUUUUUGGUUGGCUACUAUUCAGGACCAAAAUGCUCACCAUUCAAUUCUACAGCAACUUAGGAUGACUCUCUUUUGGAGAUAAAAAAAAAUUGAUUUGGUAAAUAAAUGUGCCUUUGAAGUUGAGAAGAUCUAUCAUGGAAAGCUGGUUGGAUUUGACUACACAGCUAGUACAUAUGGACUAUGGUAGACCACAUCCAUUUUGAACACGUCUUUCUGAAUUUUACUGUAUUUAAAUUAAAUUCAGUAGUUGCUAGCUUUCUUUCAUUGAAAGUUGUGGAAAGGAAACUACCAAUCAUGCUUAAGGAUUGAAAUCUAAGCUUUGGAAUCUGAGGGUUGAAUUUUAUUUUAUUUUUUAAUCAAAUUAAACAUGAUUCUUCUAUAUAAAGCAAGUUUGUGUUAGUUGUUUUUAUGCAUAUCUCAGAAAGGAGCAGAACACUAAAAUUAGAGAAGAAUGUGAUUAUCAAUGAUUCUUCUAUAUAAAACAAGUUUACCUUGGUUGUUAAAAUUUUGCAAUCACCUUUGUUGUUUCUAAUAAAGAUUGCUUAAACUUAGUAGCUAUAAUUUAGGCUAUUACAUGUAAUUCUUUCCUUGAGUUCGUCCUACUUGCCCACUUAUAUAUUCCUCAUCAAUAUGACAUCCACUAUGUUAUAUUCCUUAUCUAUAUGAAUAUCCACUUCUGAGUAUCAAGAACUUCCAUUCAUGGUUAUUUUCAUACUGGCAUCAGAUGUUUUCCUCGAAUCAACAUAACUUCUUGUUUUUGAGUGGCAGUGCCUUGCAAAUUAGAGAGGCACUUAGUUGCAGCUAGAUGUUCAGAGUCGUCUUCAUGAAUAGCAAGAGGUAUAUUUGUUUUAUCUUAUAAAUUUUUGGCUACUUAAUCUUCAUGUUCUCCAAACCUUGCAGGUUCAUACUUCAGACUUGUUAGUUAUAUUCUCUUCACAAUGUUCUCUGGCGUCAAAUUUCUUUCUAUUUACUUUACUGGUUCCAGACCCUGCUAAUUUGUCAUGUAUCUUUAAUUGAUGUUUCAAAAAGGAAUAAUACGUUUUCUUUCUUCCUUUUUGAUUGCUGAGUCUACGACUUGUAUGAGCGAUGGUUCCUCAUCUUUCUUAAGGAUUGAGAAACGGCGACAGUUUCCACAUCUGAAACAAUUGUUUGGCCUUGCAUCUGCUGGCAGCCUGGCACUGUUGAGCUUGGAAAUAUAGUUGAGUCACCUGUUCUUCAAACUGCAACUUCAGUUGUUCCUUUAGGAUGGAAUGAUGGACCUGGAGCGAAAGAUAGAGAACCUCAAAAUUGAUAUAUUGGUUUUUGGGUUGCAUCCAUGUACACUUGUUCAUGUUCAAGUGAAUGGUAACUGGUAUUGUCAUUACCACAUAAAACAUCACCAUUUAUUGGUACAGUUUUAUUGUAAUAACUUUUCUAGGGAUUAAUUGAAUCUGUUUAGAUUUGUGGGUGGAAUGUAGGGCAAGCCUAAGGCCUAAGGCAGAGCAAGAAUUAGAAGUUACAAUGGUCGUAAAUAUGGACUGUUAAAUUCUAGAAAAUAUCAAGGUUUCUAGGAUUUCAUUAAGAAAUCUGUUAGAGAAACAAGGAGUAUAUUGACUAGCAUUCAUUUAUAGAUUCUAUGCAUAAACAUGCUUGUAAUCCUGUACAUUAUCUUUAUUCUAUACUAUACCAUAAAGAGGAUAUUUCACUAUUUCA